rnacentral:rRNA from 1 species
UACGUAGGGUGCAAGCGUUGUCCGGAAUUAUUGGGCGUAAAGAGCUCGUAGGUGGCCUGUCGCGUCGGCUGUGAAAACUCGGGGCUCAACUCCGAGCUUGCAGUCGAUACGGGCAGGCUAGAGUUCGGCAGGGGAGACUGGAAUUCCUGGUGUAGCGGUGAAAUGCGCAGAUAUCUGGAGGAAUACCGGUGGCGAAGGCGGCAUCCUGGACCGACAUUGACGCUGAACGGCGAAAGCUAGGGGAGCAACGGG